rnacentral:rRNA from 1 species
AUUGAACGCUGGCGGCAGGCCUAACACAUGCAAGUCGGACGAGCGGCGGACGGGUGAGUAAUGUAUGGGGAUCUGCCUGAUGGAGGGGGAUAACUACUGGAAACGGUAGCUAAUCCCGCAUACCAUCAGAUGAACCCAUAUGGGAUUAGUGAGUAGGUAAGGUAACGUCUUACCUAGGCGACGAUCCCUAGCUGGUCUGAGAGGCUGAUCAGCCAUACUGGGAUUGAGACACGGCCCCGACGCCUACGGCAGGCAGGAGUUGGGAAUAUUGCACAAUGGGCGCAAGCCUGAUGCAGACAUGCCGCGUGUAUGAAGAAGGCCUUCGGGUUGUAAAGUACUUUCAGUCGGGAGGCGUUACCGACAGAAGAAGCACCGGCUAACUCCGUGCCAGCCGACGCGGUAAUUC